rnacentral:tRNA from 1 species
GCAUGAGCGGCGAAGUUGGAGAGUCGCGGUGGUCUGUAAAACCAUUUCUUCGGGUGAGUCAGUUCGAAUCUGGCCUCAUGCAC